rnacentral:rRNA from 1 species
GAUGAACGCUGGCGGCGUGCCUAAUACAUGCAAGUCGAGCGAACAGACGAGGAGCUUGCUCCUCUGACGUUAGCGGCGGACGGGUGAGUAACACGUGGAUAACCUACCUCUAAGACUGGGAUAACAUCGGGAAACCGGAGCUAAUACCGGAUAAUAUAUUGAACCGCAUGGUUCAAUAGUGAAAGACGGUUUUGCUGACACUUAUAGAUGGAUCCGCGCCGCAUUAGCUAGUUGGUAAGGUAACGGCUUACCAAGGCGACGAUGCGUAGCCGACCUGAGAGGGUGAUCAGCCACACUGGAACUGAGACACGGUCCAGACUCCUACGGGAGGCAGCAGUAGGGAAUCUUCCGCAAUGGGCGAAAGCCUGACGGAGCAACGCCGCGUGAGUGAUGAAGGUCUUCGGAUCGUAAAACUCUGUUAUUAGGAAAGAACAAAUGUGUAAGUAACUAUGCACGUCUUGACGGUACCUAAUCAGAAAGCCACGGCUAACUACGUG